CAGCCGGAGCCGUAGGGAAACCGAGUCUGAUAAGGGCGACAACAGUGGCAGGCGGUAGACCCGAAACGAGGUGAGCUACCCAUGACCAGAGUGAAGCGAGAGUAACAUCUCGUGGAGGCUCGAACCCAUUAGUGCUGCAAAACUAUGGGAUGAGUUGUGGGUAGAGGUGAUAUGCCAAUCGAACUUCGAGAUAGCUGGUUCUCCCCGAAUAACUUUAGGGUUAGCCUCGAUUGUUUAGUGACAGAGGUAAAGCACUGAAUGGGCUAGGGGGCGUAAGCCUACCAAACCCAAUCAAACUCUGAAUGCUGUCACUCCAAGAUCGGGAGUCGGGCUACGAGUUAUGAGAUCCGUGGCCGAGAGGGUAACAACCCAGACCGACAUCUAAGGUCCUCAAGUGUGUGCUAAGUGGGAAACGAUGUGAAACUGUUCAGACAGCGAGGAGGUUGGCUUAGAAGCAGCCAUCCUUUAAACAGUGCGUAAUAGCUGACUCGUCGAACGGUUUUUGCGCGGAAAAUUCAACGGG
rnacentral:rRNA from 1 species